GGACAACCUACCCUGAAGAGGGGGAUAACCCCGGGAAACUGGGGAUAAUACCCCAUAGACUAUGGAUGCUGGAAUGCUUUGUAGUUGAAAGGUCCGCCGCUUCAGGAUGGGUCUGCGGCCGAUUAGGUUGUUGUUGGGGUAACGGCCCAACAAGCCUGUAAUCGGUACGGGUUGUGGGAGCAAGAGCCCGGAGAUGGAUUCUGAGACACGAAUCCAGGCCCUACGGGGCGCAGCAGGCGCGAAAACUUUACAAUGCGAGCAAUCGUGAUAAGGGAACUCCGAGUGCCUGUAAAAUCAGGCUGUCCGCCAGUGUAAAUAACUGGUGAAGAAAGGGCCGGGCAAGACCGGUGCCAGCCGCCGCGGUAAUACCGGCGGCUCGAGUGGUGGCCACUAUUACUGGGCUUAAAGCGUUCGUAGCUGGUCUGUUAAGUCUCUGGGGAAAUCUCCCGGCUUAACCGGAAGGCGUCUCAGGGAUACUGGCAGACUAGGGACCGGAAGAGGUGAGAGGUACUCCAGGGGUAGGAGUGAAAUCCUGUAAUCCUUGGGGGACCACCUGUGGCGAAGGCGUCUCACCAGGACGGCUCCGACAGUGAGGAACGAAAGCUGGGGGAGCAAACCGGAUUAGAUACCCGGGUAGUCCCAGCUGUAAACGAUGCGCGUUAGGUGUAUCGGUGACCACGAGUCACCGAGGUGCCGAAGAGAAAUCGUGAAACGCGCCGCCUGGGAAGUACGGUCGCAAGGCUGAAACU
rnacentral:rRNA from 1 species